rnacentral:rRNA from 1 species
CCUACGGGAGGCUGCAGUGGGGAAUAUUGCACAAUGGGCGCAAGCCUGAUGCAGCCAUGCCGCGUGUGUGAAGAAGGCCUUCGGGUUGUAAAGCACUUUCAGCGGGGAGGAAGGCGGUGAGGUUAAUAACCUCAUCGAUUGACGUUACCCGCAGAAGAAACACCGGCUAACUCCGUGCCAGCAGCCGCGGUAAUACGGAGGGUGCAAGCGUUAAUCGGAAUUACUGGGCGUAAAGCGCACGCAGGCGGUCUGUCAAGUCGGAUGUGAAAUCCCCGGGCUCAACCUGGGAACUGCAUUCGAAACUGGCAGGCUAGAGUCUUGUAGAGGGGGGUAGAAUUCCAGGUGUAGCGGUGAAAUGCGUAGAGAUCUGGAGGAAUACCGGUGGCGAAGGCGGCCCCCUGGACAAAGACUGACGCUCAGGUGCGAAAGCGUGGGGAGCAAACAGGAUUAGAUACCCGGGUAGUC